CCAAAAAACCGCUUGCGAGCGAAAGGCGGCCAUGCCCUCCGGGUACUCUUCUUUCGUCUUCUUUAAUCCUUCUAUCGUUUGCUCCUCUCAAUCCAUUCUCUCCUCCUCCUUAUGACUUCACUUCUUCCCCCUUUCUACCAAAACCCUCAUAACCCUAACGCGUGAAGGAUUCUUGGAUCGGAACUGCGUUCUUUAUCCGCUGGAGAAUUACGGCACGUUUAUCGUCUAUGGGGAGACAGGAAGUGGAAGGAUCACUCCCAUUCCAAAGGUUCAAUGCUUCUUCUGUGCUGUUAAAGAAUUCGUUUCUUGGAAUUCUCUUGAGAUCUUUUUGGCAAUAGGGGAGAAUGAAUUACCCUCAGAAAAGAGCCUAUUUUAUCUCUCUCAAUUGGUUGGAUCAAGGUUUGCAAAAUUGGUAUCGGAUUGUAUCAGUACUUUACCGGUUGGGUAAUGAUAUGAGUAAAGGACAUACGGUGGAAAUUCAUUAUGUUAAGGAGCCUGUCUCUGAUUAUUUACAAGCUGCUGUUGACACUGUGCUGGCAAUUCAUCAUCAAGUACAUUGCAGCAUAUAGGAGGUGAUAUUGGUUAGUGUAUAAAAAGUUAUUUUCUCGCUAUAUUAAUGCACUCGACCCCACCUUAAAUUGUAUGAUUACUCCAUAAGUUGUGAGAACUUUGUAGUUAGAUGCCCCAUCAGCUUUGCAAUUUGCAUUCUGAUUCUUCUUGCCUUCUGGACUGAAAAAA